CUCGCGCGGGGCCCGGGAGCGAACCCACAGACAAAAAGUGAAACUUCGGCAGGGCUGGAGCGGCUGCUGGUUGGUGCCUUUCCCCCUCCUUCCUCCCCACCGUCCCCACCCCCUCCCCUCGGUCUCCCGUGCGGUGCCCUGAGAGCUGGAGGCUGACGUCAGGGGCCUGAAUUCCUGACUUUGCCUGCACGCAUUUGUCCAUGUAAGCUUCUUUGCCCAUCUAAGAACACAACUCUAGAGAACUGGGCCAUCAGACACUUUUCUUCGGGUAAGUCUACACCUAAAGCCAGUGCAAAAUCUCUCUUAAGUCUGACUAACACACUCAUUUGUUCUGAAGUUAUUAUCUCUGCAAGGCUUAGCAUUUGCAGCAACAAAUAUCAGAGGUUACCAAAUGCCUCUCCUAUCAGUUUCGAAAUUCCUCUUUGCAAUUGCUCACCACUCUUUGAGAAAUUUUCCUCUCUCUACUGGAAUUUUCCAUCAAAUGCUCUACCCUAAAGGUGAAUUUUUCUAGUGAGGAAAUGCAAAUAUCCCAUGUACAGAUUUUUUUUUUUAAUCAUGACUGUGCUUGACAUUUCUAGCGGGAAAAAAAUUCCCAAACCAGAAGAUCCAACUCUCCCACAUCUUAAUUGCCCUCGGAAGUGACUCUCUAGGGUAAGAACCAGUUUCCCUAAAUGUACUCAAGAAAGAAGAGUUUGGAAACUAGUGAUGUCACUUCCUGAGAGAAUGGAAUGAAUGUGAAAGAGCAGGGGCCUCCUUGGGAUGGAAGACCUGGGCUCAUCUCUUAUUUCCACUUUUUAUAACCUAGACUGCCAGGUCUACCAUUUACAAGCUGUGUGACCUUGAGCAAAUAACUUAACCUCUCUGUACUUCACAUGGGGAUAAGACUGCUACAUGUCUCAUAAGUUUGUUGUGAGGAAUGAAUGAACUGCUGGAUCUAAGUCACGGUGAGAGGGCUUCCCUGGUAACAGAAGAGCCACAGCAGAGGCCUGGAAGCUGGAGUGAGGUGCAUGUGUGGGUGACAGGAUAGUGAGAAGAGAGGGUGUCUGAUCUGGGCAAUGGCAGUGGCAAAGAGCAGUGGGGGGCAGGACUGGCCAGGGCUGGCCAGACCUGCUCACUGAGGGCCUAACAUCAGGCCUACUCACAUCAGGCUAACUGAGGAUGCAUCAGAAAGCUGUGAUUCCCUCCUCUCAAAUGAAGAAAUGGAAUCCACAGCUGGGAGUAGGAAGUGGGGUCAGCCCAUGUUUUAAAAAGUAAACCAUAUAAGGAAUUACCAGAAUUGGGAAGAUCAUUGGUCUGGAAGAUAGGAGAUCUCAACCUUGUCUCAGCAUGCUAGGAGCUUGCUAUCUCACGGUGGGCAGGUCACUUACUCUUUCUAAGGCUCAAUUUCCUUUUUGCUAAAUAACAAGAGGGGGGCUAGAUUACUAGAUUUUCUCCUCUGACUCUGAUAUUUGGUGAUUUCUGAUUUGUGAAUAUUCUCCUUAGUGCUUAACAAGGAGAGAAAAGAUUAUGCUGAAUUGUAAUUAAAAAAAAAAAGAAGAAGAAGAAGAGGAAAGAAAGAAAAACAGAAAAGCAAGCUUUAAGAUUUAACAGAACUAGUGAACUAUACACCAUUUCUAGCAAUCCCUGGCAAAUGUUUUAUAACAGUAGCAGCUUGCUCACCCCUUAUGGAAUAUUUGUAAAAAAGAAGGUACAGAUUGUAAGCAGGAAGACACUCGUGAUGUUGAAUAUCUUUGAAUGUCUGAUAAGAAAAGGGAAAAGGGGAAAUGGCAUUUGAUGGUAAUUUUAUUCAUUCAAUAAACAUAUGUCAAGUGCACA
rnacentral:lncRNA from 1 species